AUUGAACGCUGGCGGCAGGCCUAACACAUGCAAGUCGAGCGAGCGGCGGACGGGUGAGUAAUGCCUGGGAAUUGCCCAGUCGAGGGGGAUAACAGUUGGAAACGACUGCUAAUACCGCAUAAGAGUGGAUGGCCCAGGUGGGAUUAGCUAGUUGGUGAGGUAAUGGCUCACCAAGGCGACGACCCCUAGCUGGUCUGAUAGGAUGAUCAGCCCCAGUGGAACGGAGACACGGUCCAGACUCCUCCGUGAGGAAGCAGUGGGGAAUAUUGCACAAUGGGGGAAACCCGGAUGCAGCCAGGCCGCGUGUGUGAAGAAGGCCUUCGGGUUUUAAAGCCCUUUCAGCGAGGCGGCGUUACUCGCAGAAGAAGCACCGGCUAACUCCGUGCCAGCAGCCGCGGUAAUAC
rnacentral:rRNA from 1 species